ensembl:lncRNA
GUCAAACUUGAAGAAUACAAUGUUUCAAGUUUAGGAUUGAAUUGCUUUCAUUGAAGGAAGAGAAACAAACAUCCACAAGUGACAACCGAUGCAAGCCCUGGUGAUCUAAGACCAAAGCCAAAAGGACAUCUGUGCUGUAGACCGAUAAACUGAGCUGCUUCACUACUUCCUUCAAAAGCCUGCCUGGUCUCUAGCCCUAGAAGACAACAAGUACAAUGCCCUCAGACAGAGCAAGGAGAGGGUUUUUCUGCCAUGAGCAAGAGCGGGUGAGCGAGAGACUGACAGACCUUUGAGGAAGUGGAGGACGGGAGCACAUGGGCGUGGAGAAUAACGGUUUCUCAUUGCUCUUCACAUGUAGCACAACGGAGGGCGAGCCGCACCUUACUGAGCACUGGCAUGACUACUACCACGACCACGGACACCAUGGGCACCAAGAUUUGUUCCGCCUUCUUACUCCUUCUAAUAUUACAAGGGUCAUGGGCUUUCAACACGACAGCUAGUAUGGUUACAGUGUCCAGCGAGCCCCCUGCCACCAAUGUUUCAGGCCUUGCAGACAACAUUACGGCUGUGAGCAGAACCACAAGAGAUGUGAUCCCUCAGAAGACUGGACUUGGAAACAUCAGUAUGACAACGGGUCCCAUUUCAAUCCCACCAGCGAUCACCCAACCAGCUGUCAACAAGUCAACAACGCCCGAAGCCAGUAAGCCUACAGCAACCAAACCAGAGACAAACUCUUCCCCAACUAUGAAACCCCAAACACCCUGGAAACAAAAAGAAUUUUUCACCAACAAAGAUUUCGACGAGCUGGAUAAACGAUUCACGUAUGAUUACUUUACUCUGCGGAAGGCCGGGCUGGUGGUGGCGGCGGUGCUCUUCCUCCUCGGCCUCCUGGUGCUGGGCUGCGGACCCGGAGGACGCCUGCCAAAAUGCCGCCGUCUGAGGGCCACAAAGUCAUACCAAAUGGAGAAAAAAUGAGGACAGAGUUUCUGCAGAGUUAUGUAAAGUGUAGACUAACUUUGGAGUUGUGUGUGCAGAAAGCAUCAGUAAAGUACAAUUACCUAAAUAAAAUCCUUGCCUGUGUGUGUGUGUGUGUGUGUGUGUGUGUGUGUGUGUGUGUGUGUGCGCGCGCGUGUGUGUGUGUGUGUUGUGUCUGUGCGUGUGUGUUUGUAUGUGUGCAUGACAUGUGUGUGUUUACACAACUGUGUGCACAUGGGUGUGCUUUGUAUGACUAAGCCUCAGCACCAUGAGCCUAAGCCUCAUGCCUAAGAAUGGAAAAACACUGAAGACUUGAAGUCAACAUGAAUAAAACAGACAGGGAAGACUGCAGGACUCUGGUUGACCUCCAUUAAAGUUAGCCUAGCUAACUCAACAUAAUGACACAACUGAGCGUGUCUUCAGUUUAUUUACCAAGCUAACUUAACCUAACUAAAGACAUACAUUUAGUUCAGUUAACCUGCUUUUUGAACCUCCCUAUAGCCACAAGCAUACGUGUCUUUAGUUUACCUAGCUAACUAAAUAUCACUAAAGCACAUAACUGAACCUAACUUAGACCUAACUAUAGACACAAGUGUAUGCGUCUUGAGUUAACCCGCUGACUAAACCAAAAUGAAACAUGUGUGUCUUUGUUUUUUUAACCCAGCUUACUAAACCUAACUAAACAAACACGUGUGCCUUUAGUUAGGUUAACAGAGAUAACCAAACCUUAAUAAGACCCACAUAUAUUGCUUUUGAUACUUGUAAGGACCCAUGCACGUUGCUUCUAGGUACCCGUUAAGGGGAAUCUACUUGAGACGCGAUGGGACACGUGACGGUUCUUGUAGUAUCAGCCAUCUUUUUUGACUUGACUAUUUUGUUCAACUUUUCAAUAUUUGGUUAGCUUUGAGCCAACAGAAACAAUGCUAUCCACAUUUUGUUUGAUGUUGUAAACAGCCCGAUAGUGGCGAAUCAUAAUUUUUAUUAUUCAAGAUAACUUCAGUUUUUGAUUACAUUGAAAUCAUCAGCCGACGUCAGGAUGUAAAUAAAAUAAAAUUAUCAGUUCUGUUUUCGGUUCUGGGAAGGUGUGUGUCUGUAUUCCAACGUCUCUAUUAGUCAUAGUAAUGACACGUGUUUGUCACAGUAACGACCAAUACAGUAAUACUUAAGAGAUUACCUGUAUGUGUAAUGCUGCAUGUCUUGGCUGGCGUAACAAGAAAACAGCAAGCCACUUUAGACUGAAAUACAAGUGGUUUGUUUUUAUUAGGAGCCCGUUUUUGUCAUUAUAUAUUUAUUUUUAAAAAAGCAUGAAAAUGGCAAACAGACAUUUUAUUGCUGAUAUGAUCAAGAACAUUUGAAAUGAGGGUAUUGCUUUACCACCAGGUGGAGCGAACACAGAGCGAGGAGCAACAGCUGUUUCCCUUUGCUUAAGAGUAUUGGUAGCACAGGUAAUAACAAAAUGUAAAGUAACUAUAGCAUAAUAGUAUUAGAUAGUAUAGCAGCUAUGUAAAACUACUGCACUAUCCCAUAUUGUUAGAUAGUUUAGUAGAAUGACAUAGUAUAGCAAUGAUGUAAAACAACUAUACUAUCUUAUAUGGUUAGAUGGUUUAGUAGUAUUAGAUAGAGCUUGCAUAGUAAGCACGCAGAGAGCGCAUGCCUGAAUGACAUCAUAAAAAGAGAAACCUUUUUUACAUAUAUAUUUGUAUAUAUAUAUAUAUAUAUAUAUAUAUAUAUAUAUAUAUAUAUAUACAGUCUUAUUUUUUCCAUGAGAUACAAUGCCUAUACAUACAAUUUUUAACCGAUCGUAGGCGUAACAAUAUACCACAUCCAAAGGGUGAGACCAGGUCGGAGACCCCAGAAGCGCACCUUAAAGGGGUGAUAUCAGGCCAACAGGUUUGAAUGUGAUCAGCCAUAGACCUCUGAAGAAUAAGUCCCGCCCCCAAGGCUGAGUACAGAGUUUGUUAUGUACGAUCAUUCUACAACCACAUGUUAUUUCCCAUGGACAUUUGACUGAGGGAUCCGGGAGGUUCGGAGCCGGGACUUAUUCUUCAGAGGUCUAUUACAAGCUGUUUGAAAAUUCUGCCCCGCCCCUCCCCCUUGUCUUUCUGUCACGGGUAUAAAAAUCUCUCCCCAACCCCCAUCUUGUCUCUCUGUCCCGGUUAUAAAACCCCAUCUUCCCAACCCCCAGCCAUCAUAGAGCUAUUUAUUUUAUUUACAAUCUUCCAGGCUGAGGACGUUGGAGAGAUUGUCUUCUGGAGGAAGUGGGGGGAAAAAAAACGUCAUCAUUCAUGGCGGUCGAUUAAUUCACUGCCUCGCAACAGGAUGUUCUAACUAGCACUGCACACACACACACACACACACAGACGCACACACACACACACACACACACACACACACACACACACACACACACACACACACACACACACACACACACACACACACACACACACACACACACACACACUAGUUGAGCCUGGCCUGAGUUGUGGGGAAAGCCAGCUUUAUCUCCCAUCCCCUCCUGCCACUCCUACUGGGUGAAGAACAGGGGAUGUCAGGCAAAUGAAGAGGAAACCGAAGUGAGAACUGAGCCACUCUGCUGUGGAUUAGCACGGUUUGUCUUUGAAAUAAGCCUGUUCCGCUCGUGGCAGGUCUGUCCCAACAGAUCCCCCACAUCAAUGUUUCCACCACGCACCUUAGCCGGAGAGGAAUGGGAGAAAUCCCGCUCACAACAGAAGCCGUUCCAUUUAAAGAAACAUUUAAAGGCUCCCGCGUUUCAUCUUUAAAUAGAAUCUUAUUAAAAGGCUUAAUGUGUUCCAAAUGUUCCCAAGUGAAAUGGUGUGUUCAUAUUAUAAUGCAAAAAUGCAGGAUUGAAGCAUGACAGAAAGGCAAACAUCACUUUCUAAUUAUUAAUAUGAGCGUGGCACAGAUCAGCAGCGAGAAAUACAAGUAUACAGGGAUAUGCAAGAUGGCGCCUUAACCUAAACCUGUCCGGGGUCAAACCCUGAACCUGUCCGGGUCAAACCCUGAACCUGUCCGGGGUUAAACCCUUAACCCUGUGAGUGAAAUAUGUGGUCAGUGCAUUGGUCCUCCUUUCGGUGUUCUACUGGGUCCUGGGGGGCUGGAACCCAGGAGCUACACAGAGACCUUCUGGUCCUGGUCUGCGGGCACCGAGUACACGCUGGAGAGGAAGAGAGGGGCAGGCAUGAGUAUAAUCCUAGAGGAAAUACUUUCACAGUGCUAGGAAGAACACGUCCGCCCGGCCCAGCGGGUGAUCAGGUGCAAGUGUCAGGUGCACGGCGGCUGUGUCACCUCUAAGUCACGUCUCAUCCCCAGGUGAAACUUAUCUAUCUGGCAAGGAGACGCUUGUUGAUCCAACAAGCAAAGGGUUGCAGCGCGAUUAAGCCUCUCUCUUGAGCAGUGCAAUCAGGCACUGCUGCCGUACCACCAGGGGGCCUGCAGUAAUCCUGCAGAGAAUUUAACCCUCGUGGAGACCUGCCUGCUCCAAAGUCACCACCCAGACUUGGAACACUCUGGGAACUGAUCUCUGUAAUCCCCCCCCCGCCCCCAUGCUGUCUUGAAGUUACAGGGUUUAACCCCUCCCCUCACCUUCCAAUUUCCAAGGCAAAAUAAACUAUUAAGUCUGCCAACUUGUAAAACUAGAGCAAAUACUAUGAUUAGCUCAGCGAGGGAUAGGUGAGGGGACAGGUGGGGGCAGGAGAAGGCUUCUCUGCUGGACCGGUUCAGGCGGUUUGGCUGUUUGGCUGAUAGCUGUUGUCAGGUUGUUGUCUUGACGUCAAGACAGAGUUGGUUUAUUCAGACCAGAGUCGUCUCGUCAGGCUGUUAAUCAUGAAGGGGGUUGUGACAGGCCAGGUCCUGUUCUGCAGGCCCCGCUGCAAGAGGUUACUAAAGGUUUAUCUCUGGGCCAUUGUUCCUGAGAAGGACACGCUGAAGGGUGGAGUGAGGCGACUGAUAAUGGUGGAGGAGGUGGAGGAGGAGGAGGAGGAGGAGGAGGAGGAGAGCCUUGUGAUAUACAAGUCCUGACGUGCUGUGGCUGGUAGCUGCACAUGGUUGGCUGUGUGGCUUGUUGUUGUCAUGUUUUAUUCUCUCUCUAACUUUGGCUGAACUCCGGAGAAACUGUUACCCAUCAGACUGGUUUGAUCACUCCCUGGCUGAGUAAGCGUAAAAGGAAAGCAAGCGUAUAUCUCCCCCUCCCGAUAUGCACAGGUGCAGUGGAACGACGCGCUAUAACUCUUUACACCAGAUAACUGCAGCGUGACCUGCUUUAUAUACAGUAGUGCACCACUAAGAGCUGCUUUAAAUGCUCACACACUCCUUGUACUUUGUUGAACUAAAGACACAUCAAUCUCACGGGGAGAUCAGGAACAUAUUUUGUUAUGGCCGAUGACAAACAAUGCGGCUAAACUUUUGCAGGUCCAGAGAGAACUGAGAGUAGGUGCUUACCCUUGCUGACGCCUUUGCAUGUUGCGUCGGACCAACAGUAUUGCUGCAAGAGAGGAACAAUAACAGAAAGGUUUACACACCAACGUCGUCAAGCUCGACAAAGCACCAGGUACUGUUGCGAGGACUUACCAAUUAUCACAGCGACAGACAGAGCCACCAUGGCCACAGCCACACCAACGACAAUCCCCACAAACUGGUCUGAGGGAGGAAAGCAUCAACACUUUAUUACACAUACAAACGUCAAAAACAAAACCCUGAACCCCGCGGCCUUAGCUGAAAGAAAAACAUACAAUCAUACACAUAGUAUAGAUGUUUGAUGUGCAUGUUUAAUGUGCAUGUUUGACAGGUUUUAUUUACCUGAUUCUUCUUCCCCUGUAGUUUUGCCCAUGUCAGGAUCCUGGUAUUCAUUUGUGGGUUGCACAUCUGUAAUGAACAAGAAAAAGUACAACCAAAAUGAAAAUAUACGAUGGGCCUUAUAAACAUUUUCACCUUUUUGGGAAAAACAUAUAUAUAUAUAUAACAUAUAUAUAUAUAUAUAUACAUAUAUAUAUAUAUAUGCUCAACAGCAGUUGAGCAUUAGAGAGUUAAGAAGAUUCUACAGGUAGUGAGGAAAAGGAGGCAACAAGAAGAUACUUUAGGUAGUGAGGAGAGGGAGGCAAUAAGAAGAGGCUUCAAGUAGUGGAGAGAAGUAGGGAACGAGAAGAUACUUUAGGUAGUCAGGAGGAGGAGGAAACAAGAAGAUACUUUAGGUAGUGAGUAAGAGGAGAAAACAAGAAGAGGCUUUAAGUAGUGAGGAGAAGGAGAGUCUGGAAGAGGCUUUAGGUAGUGAGGAUAAGGAGGCAACAAGAGGAGGCUUCAAGUAGUGAAGAGAAGUAGGGAACGAAAAGAUACUUAAAGGGGACCUAUUAUGCUUUUCGACUUUUAUGACCUAUAAACGUUGUUAUAAUGAUUGAUAGUCAUGUUUAACCAUACACAAAAAAUGAUGUCGAUUUUCGGGAAACUCUUCCUCUCAUCUGGGCGCUUUCAGCAUUCUCUGUCAACGCUCGGUUUCGUCCUUCUCCGCCCCCUCGCCCUCCUCCUGCCAACCCAACUCCGUUGUGAUUGGUAACCUUCCUUGAAGCGCUCGCGCGGGCAGAUUUGACCAGGCAUAUGGGGGCGCGGCAGGAGUGCCUCUAAGUAGAUGAUUUCCCGGAAAUGUGAACAAGUGAAUCGCAAACGUUGUCCCGAGUGUUUAGCGCUCUGCACAGCCACCCCAGACUGUCAGCAGGGAAUACGUCGAAAUGCAUGUACGUCAUUAUUUGACACUUUAGUAUGUUUAAACAUGACUAUCAAUCAUUAUAACAACGUUUAUAGAUCAUAAAAGUCGAAAAAGCAUAACAGGUCCCCUUUAAGGUAGUGAGGAGAAGAAGGAAACAAGAUGCUUUAUGGAGUGAGGAGAAGGAUGCAACAAGGAGGUACUUUAGGUUGUGAAAAGAAGUAGGGAACGAGAAGAUACUUUAGCUAGUGAGGAGAAGGAGGCAACGAGAAGAGGCUUUAGCUAGUGAGGAGAAGGAGGCAACAAGAUGCUUUAUGAAGUGAGGAGAAGGAGGAAACGAGAAGAUGCUUUAGAUAGUGAGGAGAAGGAGGCAAUGAGAAGAUGCUUAAGGUAGUGAGGAGAAGCAGGAACCAGAGAGGGGGUCCUCGGAGGACAAGAGAAGCACCUCCGCGGUCGUAAACCAGAUAAGCGAUUCUAGCAAAGAGCCUUCAUGGAGAAGAUGAGGAGUGACGGGAGCGGCGCCAGAAGAGAAUGAAAAUGCCAACGUUGAUUAACCAGCUGGCAGUUACAGGGGGGGGGGGUCCCUGGGCUGGCUCUGUCGCCCCUCAGAGAGCUAAUUGAUUUCCUUCAACCUUUUAAUGAUUGUCUCGGAAAGGGAGGCUUCUGAUGCCUUGGCCUUUCACACAACCUGAGUGGGGCCAGAACGCUGUAGGCCCCGCUGACUGACCAGGCCUCGACCCCACGCUCUGCUUAAAACAAUGGGCUCGCAGGCGGUCCUCUGGGGACAGCCGGAGGCGAAGAACACUCACCCACGGCACGGAUAAGGUCCUCAUCAUCGGGCUCUGCAGGGGAGAGGAAAAUGUGUCCAACAACAUAAUCAACAAUCUUUCAGAAUAAAUAAAAACGAGAGACGCUGAAUCUGUCUCAUACAGCUGUUUGAUCAAAUGUAUAGAUGAAAGAUGAAUUAUAAGAGGUUUGGUUCUGCUGCACUGAAAUUGGAAUUGACUUCAAUUUUGUGAUUAGGUUAGGGUUAGGUCUGAUAUGAGGACUGUAGGGGUCAGGUUAGGGUCAGGCUGAAGGGAGUACUGGGCUGUUUCCCAAUGUGAAGGAAGCAUGCUCAACGGCUGCCCUUUUAAGGACGUUACGUCACAGAACGCCGACAAGCACUGUUCCAAUGUUGAGAACACUUGGAAAUUCGUGCACUUUUCGCGUCCUUUAUUUUUGAGAAUUCCGAGAUUUUUCAAGGAUGCAUCGAUGUAUCCUCAACGAGCCAAAAUACCCACAAUCCUUUGCGUUCACACACUGCGCGGGAUAUUAAAAAAUUGCGAAUAGGAAGCAAUACACAUUGCUUUACACAAGCGAAGUUAGUUGAACGUUUCAGAAAUAUUUUGCGCCGUAUUGCUUUUUAUAGAUUAAUCAUGUAAAUGCAAAAAAUUAACCUGUGAGAUUUCUUUCAAACUUUUUUGUAAUGAUAGGCUAUAUUUUGCCUGGAUUGAUUUGUUUUAAUAUGUAAGUAGGUGGUGUUUAAACAAACUCCUGUCGCCAAUAACAAUUUCAACAAUUCAAAAAUUUAAAUAUUUACUGGAGCAAUAUUUAAAAAGCGGAAGCGCUUCUACACUAGCAAGUCGUUCCGAACUCCGAACGCUACAAACACUAGGCAGCACUCUAGCCUCAUCUCCAUAGGACGCGACUAGCAAGGAAGUGUUCUAGCAAGGCUGCAGCCUCGCUUUGGGAAACAGCCCUGUAGGGGUCAGGCCCCAGGUUAGGUUUAGGUCUGACGUGAGGACUAUAGGGGUCAAGGGUCAGGGCCCAGGCUAGGGUUAGGUCUGAUGGGAGUACUGUAGGGCUCAGGGCCCAGGCUAGGGUUAGGUCUGCAGGUGCCUGCAUGUUCAUGUUCGUGUUCAUGUUAACGUGUAAAAGACCUACCAUCAGCAGAUCCUUCAACCUCCUUUGAUAAAGCUGUAUGGGGGAGACAUGGGAGAAAAUGGUGACAUUCAUAUACAACCUCUGAAAAUACACAAAAAGUUUCCAUAGUCACUCUCUCUCACUCUUUCAUCAUUUACACUUCCCCCUAAACACCGAACACUACAACCCCUGACCUACACACUAUAUACUAUACACUAUACAUUAUACUCUAUACGCUACCCACUGCACAACACACUACUA